rfam:Cucumis melo, WGS project CAJI01000000 data, contig: 21382
UUGUUUGCUAUUGCUGCAUCUUCAAGAUUCACAAGUUUUUUUUUUCUUGUUUGCCCUAAACCCCCUUGAGAAUCUUGAUGAUGCUGCAGUGGCAAUUAA